rnacentral:lncRNA from 1 species
UGGGGUCACGAAGGUAGUACUAAGAAUAAAGAUUAAAGGACUAAACAUGUUGAAUUAAUUGAGUUGGUUAAUUUGGAGUUAUAAAUCAUACAUGUUUGUCUCUUUAUUUAUGUGAAUUCCAGAACCAAGGAGGAGCUUAUAAAAGUGUUAGUCAAGUACCUUAAGAUGUUACCUUACUUUAAGAGUGAUGGUACAGUAUCACCUUGUGGAAGCUUUCCUUUCUUAGCGGUUGUGCAUCGUGUUUGUGGCACCCUCCAUGAAUCAUCUCUUAUGAGCUACGUCUUUCUUGUGCAAAUUGUUAAACUUCAUGUGUCACUUUCUUCAUCUCCAAUGAGUUUGC